UGGGGAAUAUUGGACAAUGGGCGAAAGCCUGAUCCAGCCAUGCCGCGUGUGUGAAGAAGGUCUUCGGAUUGUAAAGCACUUUAAGUUGGGAGGAAGGGCAGUAAGCGAAUACCUUGCUGUUUUGACGUUACUCGCAGAAUAAGCACCGGCUAACUCUGUGCCAGCAGCCGCGGUAAUACAGAGGGUGCGAGCGUUAAUCGGAUUUACUGGGCGUAAAGCGUGCGUAGGCGGCUGAUUAAGUCGGAUGUGAAAUCCCUGAGCUUAACUUAGGAAUUGCAUUCGAUACUGGUCAGCUAGAGUAUGGGAGAGGAUGGUAGAAUUCCAGGUGGAGCGGUGAAAUGCGUAGAGAUCUGGAGGAAUACCGAUGGCGAAGGCAGCCAUCUGGCCUAAUACUGACGCUGAGGUACGAAAGCAUGGGGAGCAAACAGG
rnacentral:rRNA from 1 species